rnacentral:lncRNA from 1 species
UUGUGCCCAGAGUUUGAUUUUCCACAGACCAGGUAGAGGCCAAGAGCCUCUCACAGACUCUGCAGCAGGGUUGCUAUGAUUAACUCUUAAGUACUCCACAACUACACGCUUUUGAAACUGGCGUUGGCAUAGCGUUAGUUCUGUGCAGGGCGGACGCAGCAGGACAGAAUCUCCCUGGGCAUCUUUUCGGAGCAUCAAUUUUACUGCAAAAUUUUGAAAAAACAAAUUUAAUUGAUUUCCAAGGUUUGUCAAGGAGGACAGAAACUCAGAGCACCCUGCACUUGGGGAUCGGCACUAGGAGCUGCUCUCUGGAUGGGGAGAUGGGAGCUAGCAGCUCACAAUGGGGUCACAAGACAGGAGUGUUAUUGGGAGAAUCCUGUUUUGUUGACAAAUACUGAGAUCAUCCAACUCACCAGGCAAAGUUGACUUGUGUAAGUGAUCUUCAGAUAUGAAAAGUGUGGAACCCAGCUGCUCCUCCUCAGAUAGGCGACAUGACAAUUGUAGGCCUGGAGGGAGAUGAGUUGACAACAUCCCUUCCCUAUAACCACUUGUUGGAUCUGAUCUCACAUACACAGACUCACUCCAAAGACUGACCUGGGUGUCUGCUUCUCAGCUUCAUUAACAGUGGGUGCUCACAAGUCUAGUAACAGGAUCUUCUACACUGUAGCUGCUUCCAGUGUGAGCCAGACAAAUGUACUGAAUAUAGGCCUCAGAGGUGAUCCCACCACCUUCACAGCAAUGGUCCUUCCCCAGGAGCUUCCCCUGAGAAACGGGCCAUCCAGACCAUACUGCUGCUGAAUAAUGUCUCAUUGGAAAUCUCAACAUUCUUCAUUUAGAACACCACCGCCAAUAUCUACCAUAUGCCGGGAUUAUUGUGCAGG